rnacentral:tRNA from 1 species
GAGGGUAUAGCUCAGUGGUAGAGUGCAUGCUUAGCAUGCACGAGGUCCUGGGUUCAAUCCACAGUACCUCCA